rnacentral:lncRNA from 1 species
GUGUCUCUGACCCACGAGAAAAGUACCCGGGCGGGCCACCCACAGCUUCGGGAUCGGGGCGCGCAGGGAAGUAGCCAGCAAAGCAGGAUCCUAUUCCUGAUCUCUAAAUAUGCCCCUCACCAGUGCAGAGGGAGGAGCAGUCAGAGCCUGGGAGACUUGCCUACCUGGAGCUGCACCCAUCUUUGAGGCCUUGCUCUGUUUCCUGGAACCUGAAAUGGAUUUACCUAUUCUACACAUUUCAUAGAAAUGAAAUCACAUAAUGUGUCACAUUUUGUCUGGCUUCUCUCACUUGGCAUAAUAUUUUUGGGUUCAUUCAUGUCAUAGUAUGUACUUCAUUUCUUCUUAUGGCUAAAUAACAUUUUAUGUAUAUACCACAUUUCCUUUAUCCAUUCAUCUGUUGAUGGGCAUUUUGGUUGUUUCCACCUUUUGGCUGUUGUGAAUAAUGCUGCUAUGAACAUUUAUGUACAAGCAUUUGUUUGAGCAUCUGUUUUUUAUUUUUUGGGGUUAUCUAUUUAGUAGUGGAAUUACUAAGUCACUUAUAUUCCCACCAGCAUAGGUAAAUCUAUAGGAACAGAAAGCAGAGUAAUGGCUGCCAGGGGCUGGGGAAUGUGGAGUAAUCACAUAAUGAUAUGGGGUUUUACUUUCUUUUGAUGAAAAUGUUUUGGAACUAGAUUGAGAUGGUGGUUGCAUAACCGUGUGAACAUACUUAAUGCCACUGAAUUUGUUUAAGAUGGCUUCAUUUUUCUUCACAUUUCUGCCUAUGCUUUAUAUUUUCUGUUGUUUUAAAAAUUAUAGCCAUCCUAGUGGGUGUGAAGAUACCACUACACAUAAAUUAGAAUGUCUAAAAUUAAAGAGACAGACUAUAUGCAGUGGACUGAAUGUUUGCACACACACCCCAAGUUCAUAUGUUAAAAUUCUAACUCCCAAGGUUAUGAUAUUAUGAGGUGGGGCUUUGGGGAGAUAAUUAGGUCAUGAAGGUGGAGCCUUCAUUAAUAGGAUUAGUGUCCUUAUAAAAGAGACCCUCACCAUGUGAGGCUUCUUAAAAGACUGCUUUCUGUGAGAAAACAGGCCCUCACCAGAAACCACAUGUGCAAGCACCUUGAUCUUGGACCUCCCAACUUCCAGAACCAUGAGAAAUAAUUUUUGUUGCUUAUAAGCCACCCAGUCUAUGGCAUUUUGUUAUAGCACCUGAAUGGACUGAGAGAUCAUACGAAACAAAAAAGAGGACAUGCUGUAUGAUUUCAUUUACAUAAAACUCUAGGCAAUGCCAACUUAUCUAUAUUGACAAAAAGCAGAUCAGUGGUUGGCUUGGGGAUGGGCGGGUAAGAGGGAGUGUGAGGUGGUAAGGAGCAGGAGGGUGGAAUUAUGGAAUUACAAAAGGCUAUAGGGAAACUGCUUGGGGGUGAUGGAGAUGCUC